UAAAUAAUAGUAAUAAAUUAAUAUAAAACAGAUGUAUUAAUAAUUCAUUUAAUUUUCAGCACCUGUUUUACAUUUACCUGUGAAUUUAACUAAAAGACCAACAUUUUUACCAGAUCCAAAAGAUGGAUCAUUGUAUAUUUAUGGAACAGGAGAAGGGCGAGAUUCACUUAAGAAGCUGCCAUUCACAAUUUCAGAAUUAGUAGCUGCUUCUCCAUUUCGAGGUAGUGAUGGUAUACUUUAUACUGGUAA